UAUUUUAACGUAUCAUGAAAGGCAGGCCUCCUGGUGACAAAUUCUGUCAAUUUUUUUCUGAAAACAUCCUUAUUUCUUCAUUUCUGAAGGAUAAUUUUACUGGAUAUGGAAUUUCAAAUUCUGCUGUUAGGUACAGAGCAGAAUUUUGAAGAUGCAUUAAUUCUUUCAAGUCAUGAAGGCAGUGUAUAAAAGAGCAAGUUACAAAAUGGUGGCCUGAGACCAAAAGAACCAAUGAAUUAUCCUACAGAGACUUGCUUGCUUUGCUUCCUCUUUUCACAACAAGAAGACAGAGGUUAUUAAUUUUUUAAAAAUUACUAUUUGACCUUUGGAGAGCCAGCCAAGGAAUCAUGGAUGUAUGAUAUUUGACCUAGAUUUUGAAGACAGUUUCUACAAAGAGAAAAGUGAGCAAUGGCCACUCAGGUGAGAAGACAGUCUUGGAGAAGAUGGAGAAACAUAGAAACAUAUGACCUGCUCAGAGGUACAAGAGAUUUUGCAUGACUAAAAAUGGUGUGGGAGGGGCAUCCUGGAGAAAGAAGAUGCAAAGUUGAGCUGACAGCAGACCUACAAGCACCUCAAAUUUCAGGACAACCAGAGGUCUUUUCUUAAGCAAGAAGCAGCCCUUGAAACGUGUGAUCAGAAAUGCGUUUUGGAUACUUUUGCAAGAGUUCAU